GUGCACUCAACAGGAGCUGUCCAGGUGGACUCUGAAGGGCCACGUUUUAUGUGUUGGACCCCAUAGUCCCAUUGUCAGAAAUAACAGUUAUAUGUUAUGUUAUUGUUUAAAUGGAUCCAAAACACAAAUUGUCUUCAGCCCACACUUGUAAAAUGAUUGUAUAUUAUUUUUUAGAGACAUGAACCUAUUUCUAAUGAACUAUUACAGAGCCAGCUUGGUAUUCGGGACGUUAUCCCGUUAUGG